rnacentral:rRNA from 1 species
AAUAGGGUGAAAAGCUUUUGUUUUAAAAUUACUUCUUAGAAGGACUUUGCGUGUCUAACGCGAGGAAGUUUGAGGCAAUAACAGGUCUGUGAUGCCCUUAGAUGUUCUGGGCUGCACGCGCGCUACAAUGAUGCAUCCAACAAGUUUAUAACCUUGGCUGGUAAGCUUGGGUAAUCUUUUGAAUGUGCAUCGUGAUGGGAAUAGAUUAUUGUAAUUAUUAAUCUUUAACGAGGAAUGCCUAGUAAGCGCGAGUCAUCAGCUUGCGCUGAUUACGUCCCUGCCCUUUGUACACACCGCCCGUCG